GAUGAACGCUAGCGGUAGGCUUAAUACAUGCAAGUCGAGGGGCAGCAGGACUGUAGCAAUACAGUUGCUGGCGACCGGCAAACGGGUGCGGAACACGUACGCAACCUUCCUUUACGUGAGGGAUAGCCCAGGGAAACUUGGAGUAAUACCUCGUAAUAUUUGAGAGUGGCAUCACUUUCUAAUUAUAGCUCCGGCGCUUAAAGAUGGGCGUGAGAAUGAUUAGGUAGUUGGCGGGGUAACGGCCCACCAAGCCUGCGAUCAGUAACUGGUGUGAGAGCACGACCAGUCACACGGGCACUGAGACACGGGCCCGACUCCUACGGGAGGCAGCAGUAAGGAAUAUUGGUCAAUGGACGCAAGUCUGAACCAGCCAUGCCGCGUGGAGGAUGAAGGUCCUCUGGAUUGUAAACUUCUUUUAUCUGGGAAGAAACCCAUAUUUUCUAGUGUGGUUGACGGUACCAGAUGAAUAAGCACCGGCUAACUCCGUGCCAGCAGCCGCAGUAACAC
rnacentral:rRNA from 1 species